ACAAGACUAUUUUAAGACACUUGCUGUUGAGUGAAGUUGGUGUUGUCUGAAAGACUUGUGCCUUGUAGUUCCAUGAAAAACGUGCCCUGUCGAGUCAUCUCAGUACUUUGAUCUUGAUUCAAACAACUGUUAUUUGAUGUGGUAUUGUUCGAUUGUGUGGUUGUCGUCUGUGAAAUAAAGAUGUUUUGAUACCUGU
rnacentral:sRNA from 1 species